ACACAAAAUUUCAAACUCAAACCAGGAAUCGAUGAAUGAAAUACCUUUCCGAUGCGGUCGUCUCUUUGAUCUUAAAACGGGUUUGAUCUUAAAACGGGUUUGAAUAUCCUUAUGGGUUUGAUGGAUCUGAGUUUGCUGAAUGGGUUUGAUGGAUCUGUUUGCUAUGGGUAAGAUCUGUUUCUCUAAUAACAACUCUAUCUUUUACCUUUCUCUGGUUUUCUGAUUGUUUUAGAAAAUUUCCUCCCUUCUCUCAGUUCUGUUUGCCUCAAUUUAUAAGAGAAACGGCUAAUGUUUUCAUUACAAAUACAUGUUCUGGAUUUUGUAUUGUUAUUCAACAAAAAUUCAUUGGAUUUUACACUGUUUUUGUAAUAAAAUUUAAGCAAGGUACCAUCAAGGAAAAAGAAGAGAAGCCUGUUAACUUUACAUUGAAUGUAUUGUAUUUCUUUAUUAAGCUAAAAGAAUAAUAAAAGAAACCGGUUUAUGACAUGUUUGCAACAGGAUCUUCACAAGGUAUAAAAGAUAAAGGAUGGGUCUUUGCAAGAUAAAGGAUGGGUCUUUGCAAGUUGUUUGUGAGCAAUUGUUUUUUUGAGUGAUGCUGGGUUGAAAGGAAACUUUGUUGAACAUAAUGUUGAAGACUUGUGAACGAAAGGAAACGUGUGGC
rnacentral:lncRNA from 1 species